UGUAAGCGUAUACCAAAGUUGUUGCAGUUAAAACGCUCGUAGUCGGACUUUGGCAGUUCCGGAUGUGUGCACGUCGUGUGCGCACUUCGCGGGGAUUGCUUUUGUGGUCUUGCGUAGGAUGAGGCACUUUUAUUAGUGAACGUCCUCACGCAACCACUUUUUACUGUGAGAAAAUCAGAGUGCUCAAAGCAGGCAUUUACCGUGAAUGUAUUAGCAUGGAAUAAUAGAAUAGGACUUGGUUCUAUUUUGUUGGUUUGUUGGGACUGAGUAAUGAUUAAGAGGGACAGUUGGGGGCAUUUGUAUUUCGGUGCUAGAGGUGAAAUUCUUAGAUUACCGAAAGACAAACUGCUGCGAAAGCGUCUGCCAAGGAUGUUUUCAUUGA
rnacentral:rRNA from 1 species